rnacentral:rRNA from 1 species
AUACGGAGGGUGCAAGCGUUAAUCGGAAUUACUGGGCGUAAAGCGUACGUAGGCGGUUUGUUAAGUCAGAUGUGAAAGCCCCGGGCUCAACCCUGGAACUGCCUUCAAAACUGGUAAGCUAGAGUACGGAAGAGGAGAGUGGAAUUCCUAGUGUAGAGGUGAAAUUCGUAGAUAUUAGGAAGAACACCAGUGGCGAAGGCGGCUUACUGGAUCAAUACUGACGCUGAGGUGCGAAAGCGUGGGGAGCAAACAGGAUUAGAAACCCCAGUAGUCC